rnacentral:rRNA from 1 species
GAGGAGUUCGCGGCCGAUUAGUUAGUUGGCGGGGUAAUGGCCCACCAAGACGGUGAUCGGUAUCCGGCCUGAGAGGGCGCACGGACACACUGGAACUGAAACACGGUCCAGACUCCUACGGGAGGCAGCAGUGGGGAAUUUUGCGCAAUGGGGGAGACCCUGACGCAGCAACGCCGCGUGGAGGAUGAAAUAUCUUGGUAUGUAAACUCCUUUCGAUGGGGAAGAUUAUGACGGUACCCAUAGAAGAAGCCCCGGCUAACUUCGUGCCAGCAGCCGCGGUAAUACGAGGGGGGCAAGCGUUGUUCGGAUUUAUUGGGCGUAAAGGGUGCGUAGGCGGUUUGGCAAGUCUUAUGUGAAAUCUUCGGGCUCAACCCGAAGCCUGCAUAAGAAACUGCCGGGCUUGAGUAUGGGAGAGGUGAGUGGAAUUUCCGGUGUAGCGGUGAAAUGCGUAGAUAUCGGAAGG